rnacentral:ncRNA from 2 species
CCAGAAAACAGGGGGUGCCCGCAGGGGCUGAGAAAAGACCCUUUGAACCUGAUCUGGGUAAUGCCAGCGUAGGGAUUGGCAGCUGACAUCUUA